UCCUCGAUGGUCUAGUGGUUAUGAUUUCCGCUUGUCACGCGGGAGACCAGGGUUCGAUUCCCUGUCGGGGAG
rnacentral:tRNA from 1 species